GUUACCUGCAGCAGAAAGACCCGCAGCAGCGCGAAUUGUAAACUUCGGACGUGAGAGAUAACAGCUGCAGCCCUGCAAGGACUAGGCUACCUACUGCAAAGAGGCGAAGCAACAUAGAGAGAGUAAGGAAGAUGAAGAUUAUGAAAGAGGAGAGAGAGCCAGAGGUGGAGAGAGAGCCAGAGGUGGUGGUUGGAGAGGUGGAAAGUGAGGCAUCUGAAAGGCAAUCUGAGAGUGAGGAUGAAGACAUUCAGGAUCAGAUUGAGGGACAGAAUGAGGGACAACCCAACGAGUCACUGGGACAACCAGAUUCACCAUGCAUAUCAAGUACAGCACCAUCAGAUAUCAGCAAGUGCUUUGACGACACUCCAGUGCAGCCACGUCUGAAGAAAAGGUUCAUUGUAUGCAAAAAUAGAAGU